AUUUUCACUCACACACCGUUAGCGCCUCUCUCUCUCUCUCUCAUCUCAUCUCAGUCUCUCUCUCAGAUUAACUGCUCAAUUUUCGCUUAAUUUUUCCUUAAAGUUUGCUCGUCUGCUCGACUGUUACUAGCUUGUUGGCUUGCUGCUCACAAUCAUUCACUCAGGUUGGACUUUUUUCACCGUUUGUGAAAAGUUGUGUCACCUAACAAAAGUGAAAAAGGUUUCACCAUGUCUCAACAUUGUGGUCCUAAAGUUUCAUCACCUGUUUGGAAUCACUAUCAAAAGUUUGAAGAAAAUGAUGAUAGAGGGUGCAAAGUGAGGUGUAUUCAUUGCAGUAAUAUUUAUAAUUACCAUCCACAACAUACCAAGACUUCCUUCUUGAGGGCUUAUGUUGAUCGUUGUUUGGAGAGGAUAGAGUAUCGUGCUCGUAGUAUAAGACUUGAGUAGUAAUUAGUAUUAUUACUAUGUUUGAAAUUUAAACUUAAUUUUCAAAUUGUGUGACUGUUACUUUGGAUUUUUCCUACUCUAUUUAUGCUAGACCAGUAGAUACUAGACAGUUUUAAAUUUGUGAA